CUCAGACUCCAGCAUUGCGAUGUGGGCUUCCCACUCGCACAGCACAUGGUCACUGAAACCAUCCCAAGGGAAUUUAAAGCAGCAGGACCCCGGCGUUACUGUUUGGUUGUUGCCUGGAGCCAGUGGAACAUCCGACCCACGCAUGGAGGCUGCUCAGCGCUUCUGCAUGAAUUAAAUGAGGUAGUACAAUGGGGCAUGUGGACUAGGAAGCCGUCACUGAGUUGGACGUUGGCCUUGCAAUGCAAACAACACCCCAUCCCACUCAGUACACGCCUGGGAAGGCGCUCAGCUCAUUGAAAGAGCCCAUCAGUUUUGCUUCUUCUCUGUGACCCAUUCUGGGGAGCUGUGACCAACAGCAUAGCGGUAACUUCAGGCCCGCAAGAAGAGGGUGAAAAGUAGAUACAGUUAGCUCAUCAACUUGGAAAUGCCUUCAACAUGAAACGAAGAGUCAUCCUCAAAUUUUGCAGGAAAGAAGAGCCCCCUUUUGUUUG
rnacentral:lncRNA from 1 species